UGGGGAAUAUUGGGCAAUGGGGGAAACCCUGACCCAGCAACGCCGCGUGAAGGAAGAAGGCCUUCGGGUUGUAAACUUCUUUGACGAGGGACGAAACAAAUGACGGUACCUCGAAAACAAGCCACGGCUAACUACGUGCCAGCAGCCGCGGUAAUACGUAGGUGGCAAGCGUUGUCCGGAUUUACUGGGUGUAAAGGGCGCGUAGGCGGGACUGCAAGUCAGAUGUGAAAUGCUGAGGCUUAACCUCAGAGCUGCAUUUGAAACUGUGGUUCUUGAGUGAUGGAGAGGCAGGCGGAAUUCCUAGUGUAGCGGUGAAAUGCGUAGAUAUUAGGAGGAACACCAGUGGCGAAGGCGGCCUGCUGGACAUUAACUGACGCUGAGGCGCGAAAGCGUGGGGAGCAAACA
rnacentral:rRNA from 1 species